rnacentral:rRNA from 1 species
CCUACGGGUGGCAGCAGUCGAGAAUCAUUCACAAUGGGGGAAACCCUGAUGGUGCGACGCCGCGUGGGGGAAUGAAGGUCUUCGGAUUGUAAACCCCUGUCAUGGGGGAGCAAAUUAAACAGUUCGUACCACAACAGGAAGAGCCGGCUAACUCCGUGCAAGCAGCCGCGGUAAUACAGAGGUCUCAUGCUCUGUUCGGAUUCACUGGGCGUAAAGCGCGCGUAGGCGGUUUAGUAAGUCGGGUGUGCAAGGCGCGGGCCCAACCCGCGGCCGGCACAUGAUACUGCGAGGCUGGAGUGAGGGAGGGGGAACCGGAAUUCUCGGUGUAGCAGUGAAAUGCGUAGAUAUCGGGAGGAACACUCGUGGCGAAGGCGGGUUCCUGGACAGUAACUGACGCUGAGGCACGAAGGCGAGGGGAGCGAAAGGGAUUAGAUACCCCUGUAGUC